UCUGUGUCCAGGUGCUCAGUCCCUACUGGAACUCUGAGCUUCCGAUUUGGUUCCUGACGACCCAGCAGAAAGCUCCCUGCGCCCUGACUCACAGGCCCUCAAAACCACGACCUUCUGUUUCGGUGUCUGGGUUGGGGCUGGACUUCCCAUAGGGUCCUUCCUUCUGCGUCUGCAGACUGGAGCCGGCGUCCUGGCUGUGUGGCUGUGUGGCUGUGUGGCUGUCACAGGCUCGAGCGAGCCAUGGGAUCAGGCGGCAGCUCCGCGGCACCUGUGUUGCGGGACUUGGUGAUGCUCUUGCCGUCUUCCUAACCUUUUCCCAGGAAGUGUCCCACGUGGAGUUUUCCGCAGCCGAGGGAAUACUCCAGGGGCUGCAUUCUGUGCGACCGGGUAGUUUCCAGCCCCAAAGGUCACGAAGGUUGAUGGCUGGAGGAGGAGUCGCCUGCGCCACGCUUGGAAUGCAGAGGCGCUAGGUACCGUCAGGCCCUGGUCCCCCACCUCCCUCCCUCGGCUUAAAGUGUCCUUGCCCUGCCUUUGUGUUAGCAAAUCAACCGCUCACUAGAAUCAACUUGGAGGCCUGAAGGGGAGGUACAGCCAGCCCUGCAGGAUUCUAACGAUCGAUCAGACUCCUGAGGCUGUCUGCUUCCCCGGUAACAGCAUGGUGCCCGAUCUCAUCUUGAGCGAUGUCUUUCCCGGGAACCCCAGAACGGCCACCUGCCCGUACCCACUCUGUCAUCGUCAACCUCCCCUAAAGGACCUGAUAUCGGUGUGCAGUUGAAGGAAGGCUUUGGGCUCUGCAGACCAGCCAGGGAAACACUCAGCUCCAAGGUCAAUCUAUAAGGACAAUGACCCCGGUCCCUCAGGGAGCCUGGAAUGAGGGCCCAGCUGCCCGACCCCUUGUGCUGUGUGUUGCAGCAAACACCUAGUUUCUCCCUCCACCUGUGUCAGGUGAGUGGGCCCAGUCCAGGGGUCCUACAGCAAUCCCCGCAGCCAGUAUUGGGGUUGUUCUUCACCCAGAUGAUGUGAGAGCAGGUCCCUGGUUGGAGCCAGAGUCAGAGGUGAAGGCAGGCAGGCCAGAGGGAGGGGCUGGGGUCUGACCGGGGAAGAUCUUGGCGCUGGGAGGGCUUUGGGCAGCGGGAAAGCCACGUGAGGCUGGAGGCCCUUGGACGGGGAGGCGGACCAGGUCAUCUGUGAGACUGAGCACUCCAGUGCCCACAGCCACAAGGUCGGGUGGGAGACUGGAGGGAAGGAGGAACAAGUGAGGGAGGCAGGCCGGGUCCCAGGGGAGAGGCAGGGAGCGCCCACCUGUGGGACCGGAGUCUGGAGUGGAGAAGGCUCGGCAUGAGGGAGGGCAGCGGUGUGGUCAGUGGGCUGCCCCACCAGCUCCUUCCCAAGGCCUCUGAGCACAUUUGCUCCUCUACUAAGCGCUCCCUACGGCCCCUGGGGAACAGUGCGCUAGGCAGGUGCUAAGAAUACCUGCCGCUUAUCUCACUUAUCCCAGCUCCCGUAGCACCUGCCUUUAUUUCUGUAACCCCUCUCCCUGGGGUGGACCCAGACCUGCCAGCUCCAGUUUCCUGACAAUGUGGUUCUCUGCACAGCUUUCAAAAACACUCUUGCAGGCUCUGCUGGCCUUACGUAAGUGGACGUGCUGUUUUUUUUUUUUUUUUUUUUUAAAUGAAGGAAUUGCGUCUUUUCACAGUGCCGACUGCCAGCCGCAGGGGUGAGGCACCUUAUUUUGGCCGUGCUGGGCAUCCCUGCCCCCAGGAUGUGAGGUGGCGUUAGGACUCCCGCGUGCUACUCGGAGGGCUGGCUGUAAACGCUUGCCACAGCCCUCUCUACACACAGCUUGUUCUCGUCCCAGACACCCACAAGCACCUGCCCCUUGAGGUGCUCGACCUGCCAGGCCCAGUGAGGCGUGGGCCUUUUUAUCCUGUGUCCUAUUUAAGAAACUUCCCCAUGAGGGCCUGGCCACUUGUGUUCACAGGCCAAGGCAGUGGACGUGGCGAUGUCUGUCGUGUUUGAGAGGCCUGGGUGUGGGAGUACAGCGGUUAAGUUGCUGCGUGGAUGCCCACAUCCCACAUGGCAGUGCCUGGCUGGAGUCCUGCACUUCCUGUCCAGCCCCCGCUGAUGUGCACCCUGGGUAGCAGCAGGGUUGGCUCAAGGGCUUGGGCCCCUGCCAGCUCUGUGUUUGUGGGAGAUCCGGAUUGAGUUCCAGUGCCCUACUUUGGCUGUUGUGAGCAUGCGGGGAGUGAACCAGCAGAUGGAAGAUCUCUCUUUGUCCCUUUCUCUGUGUCUCUCUGCCUUUCAAAUAAAAGGAAGAUAAAUAAAUGAAAAUGAAAAGACCUGGAAGUCAUUACGAUGGCCAUGGUUAGCUGCCAUGAUCCCAACACACGUUUGUCCUGUCUCCUCCCGGGGAGCUAUAAAUGGCUUUUAGAGGUUAAGAAUCUGGCCGGCGCCGCGGCUCACUAGGCUAAUCAUCCACCUUGCGGCGCCGGCACACCGGGUUCUAGUCCAGGUCGGGGCACCGGAUUCUGUCCCGGUUGCUCCUCUUCCAGGCCAGCUCUCUGCUGUGGCCCGGGAGUGCAGUGGAGGAUGGCCCAAGUGCUUGGGCCCUGCACCCCAUGGGAGACCAGGAGGAAGCACCUGGCUCCUGGCUUCGGAUCAGCGCAGUGCGCCGGCCGCAGUGCACUGGCCACGGCGGCCAUUGGAGGGUGAACCAAUGGCAAAAGGAAGACCUUUCUCUCUGUCUCUCUCUCACUGUCCACUCAGCCUGUCAAAAAAAAAAAAAAAAAAAGAAUCUAAAAACACAGAAAUGACAGCUAAUCAGCAGAACAACAGUCGGCUUCCUAACAGUGCGUGAGAAAUCGGGCUGUCUAAACACCGGAAACCAACCUCCCGGGGCCGGCCCUGCGGGGCAGCGAUUAAUCUGCCCGCAGCACUGGCAGCCCGUACCGGAGUGCCGGUGUCAGUCCUGGCUGCUUUCCUUGCAAUCCAGUUUCCUGAUAAUGCACCUGGAAAGGCAGAAGAUGGUGGCCCAAGUCCUUGGAUCCCUGCCACCCACACGGGAGACCCAGAUGAAGCUCCUGGCUCCUGGCUUCAACCUGGCCCAGCCCUGGCUGUUGAGGCCAUUUAGGGAGCGAACCAGCAGAUGAGAGAUCUUCCCUGUCUCUGACACUGUGCCUUUCAACUACAUGCAUCCAUUUGGAAAAUUCUACUUCUCUGAGGAUCACUCGGCUGAAAUUACAUUUGCAGCCUUUUUUCCUUUUGUGACACAUCCAGGAGUUCCAUCAGGUCUCCCACGUGGCGGCAGAGACGCAUGUGCUUGGGCCGUUGUCUGCACAUGAGCAGGAAGCUGGAUCAGAGGCAGAGCAGCCUGUUUUCACAGGAUCCCAGUGUCUCAAGCAGCGGCCUAACUUGCCGCACCACGACGCCGACCCCUUAGUUUAUUUUUAAAUAAACUGAAAUUGCGUUGACUCAACACUGUGACUCAGCCUGGUCUGCUAAUGUGUGGUUCUGGUUAACCGAGCAUUUGUAUUCACUGGGAUGAAGGCCUUCACAGCAGGGCAUCCUGGAGGAGGGAGGUUGGUCCUGUCGCUCUUAACUUCAGGCCAGUGUGGAUCGUGACGUUUGCUUGUGAAUGACGCAAGUUGCCCGGAACCGUUCAGAAACAGGGAAUGAUUGGUAGAGGUCGCUUCUGCUCCAGGCUCGCUGUGUUGCUUAUUUUCAAGAUUUGCUCCAAGGCAAAUACAACCCAGCCCGCUCCUCGCUCCUCCAGUGCCGGCAGUGGUCCAAGCGCCAGGGAGGGCUUCUGGCUAAAGAGCCAGGGCAUCUGCCUGGCAGAGACAGAGAGACAGAGGUCUUCCGUCCAGUAGUUCACUCUCCAAAUGGCUACAACCUCUGGUGCUUGGGCAGGCCAAAGCCAGGAACCAGGAGUUUAUCCGGGUCUCGCAUGUGGGUGCAGGGGCCCAAGGACUUGGGCCAUCUUCUGCUGCCUUCCCAGGCACAUUAGCUGGGAGCUGGGUCGAAAGUGAAGUGGCCAGGUCAUCAACAGGCAACCGUAUGGGACGCCAGAGUCACAGGCGGUGGCUUAACUGGCUACUCCAUAUGGGGCCGGCAGGUUAAUCCUCUGCCUGUCGCGCCAGCAUCCCAUAUGGGCGCCAGUUCUAGUCCCAGCUGCUCCACUUCCAGUCCAGCUCUCUGCUAUGGCCUGGGAAAGCAGUAGAAGAUGGCCCAAGUCCUUGGGCCCCUGCACCCACGUGGGAGACCAGGAAGAAGCGCUUGGCUCCUGGCUUCAGAUCGGCGCAGCUCCGGCCGUAGCGGCCAUUAGGAGAGUGAUCCAAUGGAAGGAAGACCUUUCUGUCUGCCUCUCCCUCUCACUGUCUGUAACCCUAACUCUCAAAAAAAAAAACCUGGCUACUCCAUAGUGCCGGCCUUAAGUAACAUCAUUUUAGGGCAACGUAGUUGCUCCCCAAGGCCUGGUAGGACCGUGUGAGCUUCAUUCUCUAAAAAUACAUGUAUAGGACUUACCAUGCAGGCUAAGGGUGAUGACUGAUCUUCAGGGCAAAUAGUGACCCUUUUCUUUCCAUGUCUUAAAAUUUCACAAGAAAUGAGAGUGAAUAGAAGCUGUUAAGAGCUGUUUCACUUCUGAACAUGUGUGUGGCGCUGGUCCUGCUUCCCCAGGCCACGCCGCCGCCCUGCUCUGUCCUGCAGGAGCCCCAGGGACUCCACAGGGUGGAACAUGCUGGUUACUGUCAGUGCUCUCAGCGGGACUUCUCCAGGACGUGGGUGACUGACAGGUGCAGGGCCCGCUGCCGCCCCCACCCCCGACCUGCACAUUCUGAGAGGUGAGCAGACUGUUACAGGCUGUGUAAUCAUUUCUGUAUCGAAACCGGACGGAGAAUAAAAACAUCCUCUGCUGUCCUUGGUAAAUGUGGGGUGAUUAUUGCCUCUCCCCUUAUUUUUGACAUCGUUGCUAUAAUUUUUUAUGGUGAGUUCUUCCCUCACCAAGACAUAUGCAGUGGUACCCAAUGUAUAUUUAAUUUCUGGUUUUUCGCAUUAGAUACUUGGUCAUUUCGCUUCUAUUAGGAGGCAGAUGUUCCUCAUUAGGUUACGUGGGCAGGCUCUGUUCCUUAGACGUGUUCAGGGCAGCUGAUUGUAAAGGCGCUGGCACAAGGCCACGACUGGAUAGCCCCCACAGGGCCCGGGGGUGUCGGGAUUGUGAAGUGACCACCCCACCUCUGUCGCUUGGGCCAUUCCCUAGCUUGCUACAGAUACUGAACUCCCAUUCAUGGUGUGGUCCUCCUAUCACCCUGAGAACGGGCAGGGGCACAGGGCACUCAGCGUCCGCUGUGCUGUGGGUAUUUACUGAGCACUCAACAAGGGUGGGUCCGAGCCACAGCUGGGACCCCAAGUGGGUGUGGACUGAGCUCCAUGAAGCCUGCAUCUCAUCUAGGUGAACACAGGGAGUCCCAGGUGUGACAGGGCCACAGAGCCGAGGACAGGCUCCGAGGACCCAGGACAGAAGGUCUGACAGCCCCGUCCAGAGAUGCCAUGGCGGAGGGGAGAUGGAGGCGCCCUCUGUCGCCUUUGUUUAUGCUGGCAGUGAGGACGACCAUGGGAGUGUGUGUUGUGUGCACGAGAGAUGGGAUCAAGACUUCUGUCUCCAUGGAGUCCUUUUGGCUGUAGCAGGUGAAAAGCUUGGGGGAAGCCCAGGUGAGUGAGAGCCUCAAGGGUGCAGGAGGUUGUGGCUGGCGCCAUGGCUCACUUGGUUAAUCCUCCGCCUGCGGCGCUGGCAUCCCAUAUGGGUGCCGGGUUCUAGUCCCGGUUGCCCCUCUUCCAGGCCAGCUCUGCUGUGGCCCGGGAGUGCAGUGGAGGAUGGCUCAGGUAUUUGGGCUCCUGCACCGCAUGGGAGACCGGGAGGAAGCACCUAGCUCCUGCCUUCGGAUCAGCGCAGCACCGGCCGUAGCGGCCAUUUGGGAAGUGAACCAAUGGAAGGAAGACCUUUCUCUCUGUCUCUCUCUCUCUAACUGUGCCUGUCAAAAAAAAUUAAAAAAAAGAAAAGGGUGCAGGAGGCCUGGGGAUGGGAGAACGAUGGGGCUGAGGGAGCGCAGGGUCGAAGCUUCCAUUCCUUGGCUUGAGCAGGUGUGUGUGCCUGUCACGGUGGGUGCUGUGUCUUCUCCGAGGUGGGCAGGACUGGACACUGAGGGGUCAGCGGGAGGAGGUGGACAUUGGAGAUCAUGAUACUGAUGCACCCAAGAUGUUCUUGAAAAAUUAGACGAGACCGGGCACGUCCAGGGUGGUGUGGCUGAGCAUUAGGCCCUUGGCCGUAGUGUAGAUUAGAAGUACGUUAUUUCAGAGACUUCAAAAGGAAAGAAGUGCCAGCUGUGAGUCUGGGCCCUGGGCUUCUGAUGAUAGCUGUGAGGUGGGGGCAGAGGGGGCCCCUGGGUCCUGUCCGCGGGCUGGAGUAUCGGUCAGCUCAGAUCGUGGAACCCAGGGACCUGCUUCACUCACAGACGCACAGCCAGGUGGGGCGGCCGGCAGGUGACAUCUGGGACAGUCUGGAGGGGGGACUUCUGUGCUGUGCAGCUGGCCCUGAUGGCUUUUAGGAAGGCUGCCUUACAACCAGCCCCACCAUCAGCUCCUCUUCUCUUCCGAGUGCCAACCCCCUAACCAGGCCCUGCUCUUCCUGGUGACCACUCCCAUCCUGAGGCUGCUUGGGGGCCAGCGGCCAUUGGUCAGGCCAUUGACGUCACUCUGGAGAGGACAAGGGCUCCAGGGUCCAUGUGCCGGGAAACCGGGGACCAGAGGCCAGACGUUAGAAGAUUCUCCUCGCCUUCUGCUUCCCAGGGUUGUAGGAGCUGUGUGUGCCGGCAAGCAGGGCAGAGACCGGACGUAGAGUUUUUUUUUUUUUUUUUGACAGGCAGAGUGGACAGUGAGAGAGAGAGACAGAGAGAAAGGUCUUCCUUUGCCGUUGGUUCACCCUCCAAUGGCCGCCGCAGCCGGCGCGCUGCGGCUGGCGCACCGCGCUGAUCUGAUGGCAGGAGCCAGGAGCCAGGUACUUAUCCUGGUCUCCCAUGGGGUGCAGGGCCCAAGCACCUGGGCCAUCCUCCGCUGCACUCCUGGGCCACAGCAGAGAGCUGGACUGGAAGAGGGGCAACCGGGACAGAAUCCGGCGCCCCAACCUGGACUAGAACCUCGUGUGCCGGCGCCGCAAGGUGGAGGAUUAGCCAAGUGAGCCGCGGUGCUGGCCCAGACGUAGAGUUCUUACGAUUCGAGGAUACCACAGCCUGCCUCCUGGUUUUCCCGGCGAUGGCCAGCGGGCUCUCCACUGAGCUUUUUCAGCUUGCACGGGUCCACAGUCACAGGGAGUGUGCCCACUUUGCACAGAAGGGGUGUGAGAGCACGGGGUGCCUGCAGGGGGCCCUCGUAGAGUGCCUGGAAGUGUGUCCUAUGACAAAGCCAUGGCAGGACUUUUUGUACCCAAACUUGUGUGUGUGUGCAGCUUUGUAGCUUCUGUCAGCAGCCAAUUCUCAUCCACGCUGACUGCCUGUGGGUUCCAGAAAGUGGUGACAGGUGCGCAGUUACUGAAGUGUAGGGCAUGUGUGGUGAGUCUUCUCCCUCGCGGUGUUUUCUGGGCACUGUCACACCAGGGCAUCAUGGGGCUCAGGCAGCUGUGUUGAGCCUGGUGUCAGUGCACACACCUGGAGUCCCCAUCUCCUUCCCGAUCUCUCUGACAGCCUGAGGGGCAUGCUGUUGCGUUUAUUUCUUUUAAAGAUUAUUUAUUUAUUUGAAAGGCAGAGAGCGAGGGAGACACACAAGCACACACACGCACACACACGUUUCUUCCAUCUGCUGAUUCACUCCCCAAAUAGCCACAACAGCUGGAGCUGGGCCAAUCUGAAGCUAGGAGCCCGGAGAGUCUUCCAGGUCUGCCAUACGGGUGCAGGAGCCCAAGCAUUCGGGUCAUCUUCCACUGCUUUCCCAGGCCAUAGCAGAGAGCUGUAUUAGAAGAGGAGCAGCUGGGAGGAGAACUGGUGCCUGUAUUGGAUGCUGGCAUCACAACACCAGCCCCUGGGCGUGGAUGCCGUGUGAGUAUUGGGGGUGCACUCUUGGUCAGUACCUCAUGGAUGGCGGGGCAGUCACAGUUCUUCCCGCCACCUGCCUUGGUGGGAGCCAUCCUGUGGACAAGAGCACACGUCGAAAACUGUGAUGGAAUGGGAAGAGGCAGGAGCUGGGCUUGGAGUGUUAGGAGGUACCGUGGGCUGAAUUCUGAAUAUUCAAAUGGAAUUAAGACAGAAAUAAAAGUUAUUUUUUUUUACUCUUCUCUCAUCUCUUUUUCCUGAACACACAAAAAAAUCUCAACAACAGGAAUAGAAACAAAACCAGCCCAGUUUUUCCAGUAAAGGAAAUGUGCAACAAGCAGUCAGGGCAAUGUCCACACUGGUUUUAAUUUUUGCAAGGCAAUGCACACGUUCCCAGAGACAUUGCUUAACAGUGAUUAUCUUGGAUGGAGUCAGAUUUUUUUUUUGGUCACCGUUGGUUGGCUUUUUUUCCAUGGCAUCUGGGGAAACAUCUUAAGCUGGAUUCUCUACUUCCCCAAGAACAGCAAACAGAUUUUUACCCCAUUUUUCAUUUCUGGUGCUAAAUGAAUGCGUCCCCUUUCGUGGCGUCUGCAAUGUGACUUGGGCGACAUCACCCCGGGAAAGUUGCCUGUCAGCGAUUGUUUGACUGGGUGCUUGUGCGUGACGUAGAAAAUACAGAGGUCACGUGUGUGACUACACAGCCGCAGUCUGGACUUUCCCCGGGGUGCUUGGCGUUAAGGAUGUGGCUAUCCGUGCAAACACGGUAGGUUAAAAGGCGAGAACUGGUUUUGAGCAGCCCGGCACCCACCAGCCGCUUACCAGGUGAGUGAGUCACGGUUCGGAGCGAAGCGCUGUGGGAAGUACACCGAGCUGUUUCACCCUCUGGGCAUUGGGAGCGUCUGGCACGGUCAUUUUUAGUCUGCUCAUUGUCGGCUGAACGUUGGGUGGGAAAUCCGAUCAUCGAAGUGGUGAGUUGCAGGCAAACAGGAUGGCGUCACUGCUGACCGACUGGUGGAAGGCCCGUGGGUGUGUGAAGCUGGCUGUCGGCUGAGUGGGCUUUGGCCUUGUCGUGGACUUCAGAAGUCCUGUUGGAUCCCUCGAGUAGACGCUAGGCAUCUUUACAGACCCAGACCAGGUCCACAGAACCACUUGGACACCACCCACCCGUGUGGCUGCCAGUGUUGUCAGUGUCUUUACUUUGUUGUGUAGGGGACUGGAUGAAAACUUCCACGCUAUUCACUCCCAACGAGUGAACAUGGAUGAGCAGCUAGUUACGCACUCUCUCUUUAAAUUUAUUUGAAAGAGUUCCAGAGAACACACACACACACACACACACACAUGUCUUUCAUCAGCUGGUUUCCAGCAACAACUGGAGGUGGGUUGAUCUGAAGCCAGGAGCCAGGAGCUUCAUCCAGGUCUCCCACGCAGUUACAGCGGCCUGAGCACGCGGGCCAUCUUCUACUGCUUUCCCAGGCCAUAGCCGAGUACUAGAUCGGAGGGGGAGCAGCUGGGACACGAACUGGCGCCCACAUGGGAUGCUGACAUCACAGGCAGCGGCUUAACCUGCUAUGCCACAAAGCCAACUCCGUAGGCUCGCGUUUUAAUUUCUCAUUCCAUAAAUAGCUGAGGGAUUCCUGCGAGGCAGGAAUGAAGAGCUGGUGAAGAUGCUGUUAUUAAUUUACAGCGAUGUUGUUAUGCAUGAAGUAUUUUAGUUUCAAGCCUUUCUUGAUCUUUCCUAGGACCCACUAUGAUUCACUAAAGCAGAGCAUUCAAAAAUAAUCUCUUUGUCCAGGGGAGACGUCGUUGUUCCUGAAAUGGUUGCUUCGAAACAUCGGAUGUCGUGGAGGGUGUCGUGAGCCGGCCACUUCCAAGUGCAUCCCGCGAGGGCUGUGCCAGUUAUCCCUCUUUUAAAAAUGAGGAGGGCGUGGCCAGGUGCCGCGGCUCACUAGGCUAAUCCUCCACCUUGAGGCGCCGGCACACCAGGUGCUAGUCCCGGUCGGGGUGCCGGAUUCUGUCCCGGUUGCCCCUCUUCCAGGCCAGCUCUCUGCUGUGUCCCGGGAGUGCAGUGGAGGAUGACCCAAGUACUUGGGCCCUGCACCCCAUGGGAGACCAGGAGAAGCACCUGGCUCCUGCCUUCGGAUCAGUGCGGUGCGCCAGUCGCAGCACGCCGGCCACGGUGGCCACCGUUGGGUGAACCAACGGCAAAGGAAGACCUUUCUCUCUGUCUCUCUCUCUCUCUCACUGUCCACUCUGCCUGUCAAAAAAAAAAAUUAAAAAAAUGAGGAGAGCGAGGCUCAGUGCGGUCAAAUUCUUCACUCAAAUUCUCACCGUUUGCAAGUGGCCGUGCUGGGCAGUGAGCUACUCCCGAGGGACCAGGAGAACGCUCUCCUCUGUCACCUGCAGCCUGGGAGGCGUUCAGAUGUUGAAGUGGAACAAGUGACUGUGCAAGGCCUUUCUUCCAGGAAUCUCAGGUGGCAGAUGGGUCUGGUGUGGUUGCUGCUGUCUCUUGCGUCACCGGGGCCUUGCACCAGCCCCAGAACCAGAGGACGUCCCCAAGCCUGCGGACGCCCAGCGGGACAGGAUGCCCAGGAGCGGGAAGCUGGGAUCUGGAGUGGAGCCGAGCCGCAAACCCAGCGCUCUGACUUGUGAUGCUGGCACACAAUGGCCGGGCCCAACACCUGCCCGCAGGGUCAAACAUCCACCCUCGAGCCCUCGGAUUUGGGAGCCAGCUCAUGUCCUGGCUGCUCCACUUCUGGUCCAUCUUCUUGCUGAUGGCCUGGAAAAGCCCUGGAAGAUGGCCCAAGUGGUUGGGCCCCUGCAGCCAUGUGGAAGACCUGGCUCCUGGCUUCAGCCUGGCCCAGCCCUCGCCUUUGCAGCCAUCUGGAGAAUGAACCAGUGGAUGGAAGAUUCGUCUCUAUUCAUCUCUCUGCCCCUCCCUCUCUGUAACUGUGACUUUCAAAUAAAUAAAUAAAUAAAAUCCUGAAAAAAAAAGAAAAGUCAUAUUUAAAUUACUUUUGAGUAGAACAGGGGGCACCUUUGUGGCCAGAAGUGAGAGGCAUUGGCCCACCUGAACUCUGGCUGCCUUUCCCUCUCCAUGUCCCCGUUAGCCUCCAUUUCCAGCCAGCAAUGGGAACAAGAAGGCUGAGCCCUGGGCGGGGGGGUGUCAAUGCUUAGCCCCUCCUACUGCUCUCUCAAGUUCAGCCCAGUGCAGCCAGGAGACCAGGGAGAUCCAGGGCCAGCUUCGUUCCUGGCAGAAGGCACCUGGCUUGGGAUGUGGAGGGGAAGGCUGGCUCCUGGGUCCCACUGGGCUAGGUGGGCGUGGCCUCAGUCACAGGAGCUCCAGGCUUCUCCAGGCUGCCCUGGCGGACAAGCUGAGCCACAGGGCAGAGAGAGCCAGCGUGGGCUCUUCACACGUGGACACGGCCAGCCACGUCCAAGUCACUCAUCACACGCCCUGCAUGAGGCUGGGGCCAGGAGAAGCAGCCAGGAGGGCCGUGUCCACCUGGGUGCAUGGAAACACAGACAGUGGGUGUGAACGUCCCCUUGUCACCAUCUGUGGGAUUGGCUCAUCCUUGGACCACGCCUGUCUGUGGGAC